UACGGAGGGUGCGAGCGUUGUCCGGAAUCACUGGGCGUAAAGGGCGCGUAGGCGGCGCGGGGAGUCAACGGUGAAAGCUCGGCGCUCAACGCCGAGUCGGCCGUCGAUACUCCCGUGCUCGAGCACUGUAGAGGCAGGUGGAAUUCCGGGUGUAGCGGUGGAAUGCGUAGAUAUCGGGAGGAACCCCAGUGGCGAAGGCGGUUGCCUGGAGCUUUGCUGACGCUGAGGCGCGAAAGCGUGGGGAGCGAGCCGG
rnacentral:rRNA from 1 species